rnacentral:rRNA from 1 species
AUGAACGCUAGCUACAGGCUUAACACAUGCAAGUCGAGGGGCAGCAUGGUCUUAGCUUGCUAAGGCCGAUGGCGACCGGCGCACGGGUGAGUAACACGUAUCCAACCUGCCGUCUACUCUUGGACAGCCUUCUGAAAGGAAGAUUAAUACAAGAUGGCAUCAUGAGUCCGCAUGUUCACAUGAUUAAAGGUAUUCCGGUAGACGAUGGGGAUGCGUUCCAUUAGAUAGUAGGCGGGGUAACGGCCCACCUAGUCUUCGAUGGAUAGGGGUUCUGAGAGGAAGGUCCCCCACAUUGGAACUGAGACACGGUCCAAACUCCUACGGGAGGCAGCAGUGAGGAAUAUUGGUCAAUGGGCGAGAGCCUGAACCAGCCAAGUAGCGUGAAGGAUGACUGCCCUAUGGGUUGUAAACUUCUUUUAUAAAGGAAUAAAGUCGGGUAUGGAUACCCGUUUGCAUGUACUUUAUGAAUAAGGAUCGGCUAACUCCGUGCCAGCAGCCGCGGUAAUACGGAGGAUCCGAGCGUUAUCCGGAUUUAUUGGGUUUAAAGGGAGCGUAGAUGGAUGUUUAAGUCAGUUGUGAAAGUUUGCGGCUCAACCGUAAAAUUGCAGUUGAUACUGGAUAUCUUGAGUGCAGUUGAGGCAGGCGGAAUUCGUGGUGUAGCGGUGAAAUGCUUAGAUAUCACGAAGAACUCCGAUUGCGAAGGCAGCCUGCUAAGCUGCAACUGACAUUGAGGCUCGAAAGUGUGGGUAUCAAACAGGAUUAGAUACCCUGGUAGUCCACACGGUAAACGAUGAAUACUCGCUGUUUGCGAUAUACUGCAAGCGGCCAAGCGAAAGCGUUAAGUAUUCCACCUGGGGAGUACGCCGGCAACGGUGAAACUCAAAGGAAUUGACGGGGGCCCGCACAAGCGGAGGAACAUGUGGUUUAAUUCGAUGAUACGCGAGGAACCUUACCCGGGCUUAAAUUGCAGAUGAAUUACGGUGAAAGCCGUAAGCCGCAAGGCAUCUGUGAAGGUGCUGCAUGGUUGUCGUCAGCUCGUGCCGUGAGGUGUCGGCUUAAGUGCCAUAACGAGCGCAACCCUUGUUGUCAGUUACUAACAGGUUCCGCUGAGGACUCUGACAAGACUGCCAUCGUAAGAUGUGAGGAAGGUGGGGAUGACGUCAAAUCAGCACGGCCCUUACGUCCGGGGCUACACACGUGUUACAAUGGGGGGUACAGAGGGCCGCUACCACGCGAGUGGAUGCCAAUCCCCAAAACCUCUCUCAGUUCGGACUGGAGUCUGCAACCCGACUCCACGAGGCUGGAUUCGCUAGUAAUCGCGCAUCAGCCACGGCGCGGUGAAUACGUUCCCGGGCCUUGUACACACCGCCCGUCAAGCCAUGGGAGCCGGGGGUACCUGAAGUGCGUAACCGCGAGGAGCGCCCUAGGGUAAAACUGGUGACUGGGGCU